rnacentral:rRNA from 1 species
UACGUAGGGUCCGAGCGUUGUCCGGAAUCAUUGGGCGUAAAGAGCUCGUAGGCGGUCUGUCGCGUCUGCUGUGAAAACUCGGGGCUUAACCCCGGGCCUGCAGUGGGUACGGGCAGACUAGAGUGCGGUAGGGGAGACUGGAAUUCCUGGUGUAGCGGUGAAAUGCGCAGAUAUCAGGAGGAACACCGGUGGCGAAGGCGGGUCUCUGGGCCGUAACUGACGCUGAGGAGCGAAAGCAUGGGGAGCGAACAGG